rnacentral:rRNA from 1 species
GACGAACGCUGGCGGCGUGCUUAACACAUGCAAGUCGAACGGAGUGGCGAACGGGUGAGUAACUCGUGGGUGAUCUGCCUUGCACUUCGGGAUAAGCUUGGGUAACUGGGUCUAAUACCGGAUAGUGCAAGAUGAGUUGGCGGCCUAUCAGCUUGUUGGUGGGGUAAUGGCCUACCAAGGCGUCGACUGGUAGCCGGCCUGAGAGGGUGUACGGCGUCAUUGGGACUAGGGUACGGCCCAGACUCCUACGGGAGGCAGCAGUGGAGAAUAUUGCGCAAUGGGCGGGAGCCUGAUGCAGCGACGCCGGGUGGGGAAUGAAGGCCUUCGGGUUGUAAACUCCUUUCGACAGGGACGCGGUACCUGUAUAAGAAGCACCGGCUAACUACGUGCCAGCAGCCGCGGUAAUUC